UUUUUUUUUUUUUUUUUGAGACAGAGUCUCGCUCUGUUGCCCAGGCUGGAGUGCGGUGGCACAAUCUCGGCUUACCGCAGCGUCCCGUUUUCAAGCGAUUCUCCUGGCUCAGCCUCCUGAGUAGCUGGGAUUACCAGCAUGCGCCACUAUACCCUAAUUUUUUGUAUUUUUAGUAGAGAUGAGGUUUCACCAUGUUGGCCAGGCUGGUCUCGAACUCCUGACCUCAAGUGAUCAGCCUGCCUCAGCCUCUCAAAGUGCUGGGAUAACAGGCAUGAGCCACUGCACCUGGCGUAAAAAAAAACAUUUAAAAAAAAAUCUUUUUUCUUGGGCUGGUCAGUUUCCACACAGAGGAAUCCUUCAGUUCUUGUCAGGGCGUUGGGGGAAGGAUGGUGGUGGUAGCUGAGCAUGCAAUGAGCCUAGUGGCCAACAUUCUUGUGACUAACCGGAUGAAAGGGAUUAGAGGUCCUACUCUUCCUUAUGUGAACUCCGUAUAAUCCCGUCUUUAUUACUGCAUCCCGAUCCGAGCUAUGCUUGGUGUCCAGAAUCCUCCUGUUCAGGUCCUCUGGAAUGGCCUUUCUCUUAGUGCUCCACGGUGAUGAAAGUGAGCUAAUCCCCUGAACAUGUGUGUGAGAAAGGAAAUGUGGAAGGCAACCUUUUCCUCUAAAUGCUCCUGCUUUCAGUUCCACAGUUCUCAGACAGGAGGCUAGCGCUGCCAACUCCCAGACUCUUCCAGACUCACUGGAUUAAAUGAACUUGCUUCUUGGUUUCCUUCCACAUAGGCACUGGUGUUCCAUUUUCUCAGGUCCAUAAAGAUCUGAUUUCCAGUUUUCAAACUUUUGUUAACUGAUUUAUCUGCUGUCGUUUCUUUUUUUAAAAAUUAAUUAUUUAUUUAUUUAUUUUUGAGACGGAGUCUUGCUCUGUUGCCCAGGCUGGAGUGCAGUGGUGCGAUCUUGGCUCACUGCAAGCUCCGCCUCUCGGGUUCACGCCAUUCUCCUGCCUCAGCCUCCCGGUAGCUGGGACUACAGGCGCCGCCACCGCACCUAAUUUUUUUGUAUUUUUAGUAGAUACAGGGUUUCACCCUGUUAGCCAGGAUGGUCUCGAUCUCCUGACCUCGCGAUCCACCCGCCUCGGCCUCCCAAAGUGCGGAGAUUACAGGCGUGAGCCACUGCGCCUGGCCCUGUCCUUUCUUCUUAUGGACUCAACUAUGUCCUUGUGGAUUUUCCAUUUUGUUUUUUAUUUUUUAGCUGGAGUGCAGUAGUGCGAUCUCAGCUCACUGCAGCCUCUGCCUCUCCAGUUCCAGAGAUUCUCCUGCCUCAGCCUCCUAGGUAGUUGGGAUUACAGGCGUGUACCAUCAUGCCUGGCUAAUUUUUUUUUUUUUUUUUUUUUUGAGACGGAGUCUCGC
rnacentral:lncRNA from 1 species